CACUUGUGCUAAGCCUGGAGCAGGUACUAAUACAAUAGCAGUGUCUGGUGGACGAAGGAACCUUAACCAGGAUUAUACCUAUUCCUGCAAACCCGGCUACACCGCCCCCUCUGAAAAACUGAAGACCGUCUGUGUACUAAACGGUAACGCACCCACUGGAAAGUGGUCUAAAGAUCCACCCACUUGCGAAGCGGAAAAAAGUUCAACCCAAGGAACUACCCUCAGAUGUCCAAGAGGCUUUGAACUUUUUGAAGGGAAAUAUUGCUUCCUCAUAAUAAGCAAGGCCGACAUAUGGGAAGUACAGGCACGGAAAUGCAAGGCCAAGAAGGGACAACUGGCAAUACCUCGCUCUGAAGACAAAGCCGAAGUUCUACAAAGAUAUCACACAGAGAAUCUCAAAAACGACGUGUGGAUUGGACCCCAAGCUCUUGUUGUCAGCAAUGUCUUUACUGACU